AGUGAAUGCUGGCGGUAGGCCUAACACAUGCAAGUCGAACGGCAGCACAGUAAGAGCUUGCUCUUACGGGUGGCGAGUGGCGGACGGGUGAGGAAUACAUCGGAAUCUACUUUUUCGUGGGGGAUAACGUAGGGAAACUUACGCUAAUACCGCAUACGACCUACGGGUGAAAGCAGGGGAUAUUCGGACCUUGCGCGAUUGAAUGAGCCGAUGUCGGAUUAGCUAGUUGGCGGGGUAAAGGCCCACCAAGGCGACGAUCCGUAGCUGGUCUGAGAGGAUGAUCAGCCACACUGGAACUGAGACACGGUCCAGACUCCUACGGGAGGCAGCAGUGGGGAAUAUUGGACAAUGGGCGCAAGCCUGAUCCAGCCAUACCGCGUGGGUGAAGAAGGCCUUCGGGUUGUAAAGCCCUUUUGUUGGGAAAGAAAAGCAGCAGGUUAAUACCCCGCUGUUCUGACGGUACCCAAAGAAUAAGCACCGGCUAACUUCGUG
rnacentral:rRNA from 1 species